GACGAACGCUGGCGGCGUGCCUAAUACAUGCAAGUAGAACGCACAGUUUAUACCGUAGCUUGCUACACCAUAGACUGUGAGUUGCGAACGGGUGAGUAACGCGUAGGUAACCUGCCUGGUAGCGGGGGAUAACUAUUGGAAACGAUAGCUAAUACCGCAUAAUAUUGAUUAUUGCAUGAUAAUUGAUUGAAAGAUGCUAUUGCAUCACUACCAGAUGGACCUGCGUUGUAUUAGCUAGUAGGUGAGGUAACGGCUCACCUAGGCGACGAUACAUAGCCGACCUGAGAGGGUGAUCGGCCACACUGGGACUGAGACACGGCCCAGACUCCUACGGGAGGCAGCAGUAGGGAAUCUUCGGCAAUGGACGAAAGUCUGACCGAGCAACGCCGCGUGAGUGAAGAAGGUUUUCGGAUCGUAAAGCUCUGUUGUAAGAGAAGAUCGGGUGUGAGAGUGGAAAGUUCACACUGUGACGGUAUCUUACCAGAAAGGGACGGCUAACUACGUG
rnacentral:rRNA from 1 species